rnacentral:rRNA from 1 species
GAUGAACGCUGGCGGCGUGCCUAAUACAUGCAAGUCGAGCGAACAGACGAGGAGCUUGCUCCUCUGACGUUAGCGGCGGACGGGUGAGUAACACGUGGAUAACCUACCUAUAAGACUGGGAUAAAUUCGGGAAACCGGAGCUAAUACCGGAUAAUAUAUUGAACCGCAUGGUUCAAUAGUGAAAGACGGUUUUGCUGUCACUUAUAGAUGGAUCCGCGCCGCAUUAGCUAGUUGGUAAGGUAACGGCUUACCAAGGCAACGAUGCGUAGCCGACCUGAGAGGGUGAUCGGCCACACUGGAACUGGAACACGGUCCAGACUCCUACGGGACGCAGCAGUAGGGAAUCUUCCGCAAUGGGGGAAAGCCUGACGGAGCAACGCCGAGUGAGUGAUGAAGGUCUUCGGAUCGUAAAACUCUGUUAUUAGGGAAGAACAAAUGUGUAAGUAACUAUGCACGUCUUGACGGUACCUAAUCAGAAAGCCACGGCUAACUACGUG